rnacentral:rRNA from 1 species
AUUGAACGCUGGCGGCAGGCUUAACACAUGCAAGUCGAGCGGAGAUGAGGUGCUUGCACCUUAUCUUAGCGGCGGACGGGUGAGUAAUGCUUAGGAAUCUGCCUAUUAGUGGGGGACAACAUUCCGAAAGGAAUGCUAAUACCGCAUACGUCCUACGGGAGAAAGCAGGGGAUCUUCGGACCUUGCGCUAAUAGAUGAGCCUAAGUCGGGUUAGCUAGUUGGUGGGGUAAAGGCCUACCAAGGCGACGAUCUGUAGCGGGUCUGAGAGGAUGAUCCGCCACACUGGGACUGGGACACGGCCCAGACUCCUACGGGAGGCAGCAGUGGGGAAUAUUGGACAAUGGGGGGAACCCUGAUCCAGCCAUGCCGCGUGUGUGAAGAAGGCCUUAUGGUUGUAAAGCACUUUAAGCGAGGAGGAGGCUACUGAGACUAAUACUCUUGGAUAGUGGACGUUACUCGCAGAAUAAGCACCGGCUAACUCUGUGCCAGCAGCCGCGGUAACAC